rnacentral:rRNA from 1 species
GACGAACGCUGGCGGCGUGCUUAACACAUGCAAGUCGAGCGGUAAGGCCCUUUCGGGGGUACACGAGCGGCGAACGGGUGAGUAACACGUGGGUGACCUGCCCUUAGCUCUGGGAUAAGCCUGGGAAACUGGGUCUAAUACCGGAUAUGACUCCAUGACGCAUGUUGUGGGGUGGAAAGCCUUGUGCGGCUAGGGAUGGGCCCGCGGCCUAUCAGCUUGUUGGUGGGGUGAUGGCCUACCAAGGCGACGACGGGUAGCCGGCCUGAGAGGGCGACCGGCCACACUGGGACUGAGACACGGCCCAGACUCCUACGGGAGGCAGCAGUGGGGAAUCUUGCGCAAUGGGCGAAAGCCUGACGCAGCGACGCCGCGUGAGGGAUGACGGCCUUCGGUUGUAACC